GUGUCAGCCGCCGCGGUAAGACAGAAGGUGCAAGCGUUACUCGGAAUUACUGGGCGUAAAGCGUCUGUAGGUGUCUGACCACGUCUGGCGUGAAAUCUCAGGGCUCAACCCUGUGUCUACAUCGGAAACGAGUCGGAUCGAGUCACUCAGAGGCGUCUGGAAUGUCGUGUGUAGGGGUAAAAUCCGUAGAUACACGAUGGAACGCCAAAAGCGAAAGCAGGAUGCUGGGGGUGUACUGACACUCAGAGACGAAAACGUGGGGAGCAAAGGGGAUUAGAAACCCUAGUAGUCC
rnacentral:rRNA from 1 species